rnacentral:lncRNA from 1 species
CGUGGAGCCCUCCUUCACAAAUGCAGCUCCUUUGUUGAAGCAUUUGAUGUAAUAUCCAAAGGCUUCUCUUUCUUCUGCAUGAUUGUGGCCGAUGGUGAUAGUUGAUUUGGAGGAUUCCAGUGGCAAUGUAUCAAAUGUUUAUUAGAGAAUGUAUCAUAUUCUAGUAACCGACAGGGGAACUCCUAGGGUAUUGGUGGUCGAUCUACAUCUCCACUCGAGUAAAGAGGUCCUUCUUUUGAUUCUCAUUCCGCUCAAGGCACUUGUUUUGUCUGCAUCACCUGAUACUGAUUCAAAACAAGAUCCUUGAGCUCAUUGAGGAGGCAUGUGGGAAAGGAUGAUAGAUUGGUUUAUGUAGUCAUGAUGGUCAGAGGAGGAACCAUGACCAUCGUGCCAAGUUGUAGAGGAGGAACUGUGGCCAUCAGAUCAGGUUGUUGAGGAGGAAGUGGGUACUGCGAUUGGAGUCAACAUGUGACAUAAAAUGUCUUACUUUAUAUAGUAUAUCUUAUUGAUAAAAGAGAAUCUUUUGUACUUAUUUUUCUUGCAAAUGAAUAUUUUGUAUG